UGCUGUGGAUGAUGAGAAAAACAAUUUUACAGUUAUCCCUGGCUGAUAUAGCGGAUGCUGAAAGUUUGUAAUCUGACACGCAC